AUGGGUGGCGGUGGAGAAAGAGGCAUGAAGCAACCUUCAGGCAAUCCGAGUGAGCUGUGGAAGAGCCCUAGGGGAACAGUGAUUCGUAUUGAGGUGCUUGCAUUGGUGGCCAUUGCCCUCUCCUUCUUCUUUGUGGCUUUUGGGUCCAGCCGCCGCUGGUCCAACCGCUGGAUCAUUCAAAAAGGUGUCUUGGCUGCAAAUGCAUUAUCUUUGUCCCUCGGAACAUACAGCAUUGGUUUGAUGCAAUCCUCGCCGGUGAAGAGUGAGAUGUACCCCAUCUGGGCCGUAUCCUUGCUCACCCUCUUUGGCAGCAUUGACUCAAUCAGCGGGUACAGUCUUGACCACAACAGCCAGUUCCUGAAGCUGCUAUACCAGCUAUGCCCCUACUGUGGAUAUGUCCUCCUAAUUGGUAUCUCCACCAUCUCCAGUGAUGUAGGUAACAUUGCAAUCGGUGUUCUGUGUGCCAUCACUUUCAUUAAGGACUUUCACAGAUCACUAGCAAGUGUGUUGCCGAGCAGAUUGCGGAAUGUGAAUAAAUUGAUUGCUGAUUACAUGGAAUAUCGUUUUUCACAACUAAAUGGUCCUGAUGAUGUCAUCAUGAGAGAUUACCCUAAGUACGUGGUCGACUGGCCCCUAGACAAGGCCGAGUCUGACCAUUUCAAAAAAACAAACAACAUAUUGGAUGGUAGUGAAGUCAUCACCAUAAACCAGAUAUGGCAUUGCGCCAUCGGUUCACCAGGAUCAAAUGCCAGUUCUUACAAGGAUGUUUGCCUCUCCUUCUCUUUAUGCCAUUUGUUGCAAAGACGUUUCUUCGGGUUCAAAUGUGCUGAGUCCAGCUUUGGUGAGGCCCUAGAUUUUAUCAACAGAGACGGAACAUAUGGACCGAGAACUGUUAUGGCUUGGCACAUUGCGACUUGUUACCUGGAAAUUGGGCAGUCCAAGAACAAGAAGUGGCUUGAAGAGCACUCUGUAGAAGAGAGAAUGGAGCUAGCAGUGUAUUUUGAUGUUGCCACAACGCUGUCUAAAGUUUACUUGGGCUAA
rnacentral:rRNA from 1 species